GCCUGCUUAACCUAGCAACAAAGGUUGCCAUGGACACAUCACCUUGGUGUUCCACUCUGCACUGACUCCCCAUAGAACACUGAGUCCAGUUUAGGAAUUGCUAACAUUCAAAUACCUCUCUGCUUUAUGGGACUGUCCUGAGGUACCAGUAAGAUCACCUCUCUCUUCGCAACCUUGACCAUCCACAACAGCUGAGUUCUACCAGAAUCAUGAAACUAUCAAUGAGUAAAGGGAGUCUCACGAUGGCUAGACACAGAAUUUUCACAGGAGCUGGACCUACACUAUUGAACUCACUCCUACUGCAGUCACAUAUGCUGCUGGGCUGUCAAGUUGAGAGGGGACAAGGCAAGAGAUUCUGCAUUAAGAUUUACGUGGGCAUCUUUCUGACAUCACAACAUGACUAUGGAUUGAUGUGCAUUGGCUGAUACGAGUUUGACCGAACAGGAACAAACUCAUCACUACUCAAACGUGGAACUUAUAAGAAUGACUAUUAUCAAUCAAUGACAACUAGUAU